AGGAAUAUUGGUCAAUGGACGCAAGUCUGAACCAGCCAUGCCGCGUGAAGGAUGAAGGUCCUCUGGAUUGUAAACUUCUUUUAUCUGGGACGAAAACGGGAUUUUUAUCUCAAUUGACGGUACCAGAGGAAUAAGCACCGGCUAACUCCGUGCCAGCAGCCGCGGUAAUACGGAGGGUGCGAGCGUUAUCCGGAUUUACCGGGUUUAAAGGGUGCGUAGGUGGGCUUAUAAGUCAGUGGUGAAAUCUCCGAGCUUAACUUGGAAACUGCCGUUGAUACUAUAGGUCUUGAAUUAUCUGGAGGUCAGCGGAAUAUGUCAUGUAGCGGUGAAAUGCUUAGAUAUGACAUAGAACACCAAUUGCGAAGGCAGCUUACUACAUAUAAAUUGACGCUGAGGCACGAAAGCGUGGGGAUCAAACA
rnacentral:rRNA from 1 species